CUGACUCGCACUGGGGAAGGAUCUCUUUCUUUCUGGAGGUCUCUCCUUUUUGGAGUUUUCUACUGCAAGCCUAGAUCCUUGGAUACAGCAUGCCCUGGAGUCAGGAUCCACCAGAGGUGAGAUGCCCCAACUAGAGACCCCAAACACACUGUAGUCUGCCAGAGGCCUUCUGCAAGGCCAAGGCACAGCACAGUAGAACAGUGGGAAAACUGAAUUGCGGAAGGAGUUUUGAAUGAGGUGGGAGUACAUCUCUCCUGCUGCUGCUGCUUGAGCGACUAGCUGGAUAUUGAUUGUUCUAUCUCAACCCACGAAUUCUACUUUUUCUUUUCCUAAUUCUCUCCCCCAUCCCACUGGGAAGAAGGGGAGUGAGCAAACGACUGUGCGGUGCUGAGCCACGUGCUGGGUUAAACCACAGCAAUGUACAAAGUAAUUAAUUUCAUACUGUCCAACCUUAAAGGGAAAUCAUAGUAAUAUCAUUCAGUUAAUAGAAAGUAUUACGUAUCAGGUUCUAUUUUAAGAGAUUUUGUUUGUUUGCUUGUGGGUUAUUUUUUUUUUUUAAAUAAUUCAACCUAUUACACCUUGCUUCCAAUCUCUGUCUGCAUUCAAAGCAAUUACAUUAAUGCUUUUCAGAAGUACCACAGAAAUAUAGGUCAAAAAAAAAAAAAAAGCAGUACUACUCUCUAUCUUAAAGAAUGUAAUAGUGUUAUAGCAGUUUUCAGGCUAUCAGUUUUGAAGUAAAUUAACUGAAGUAGCAUUAUUUGAGUGACUCAGUCAUCAUAGCACCACUGUAGCUCAUAUGACUUGAAUUAACUAUUAUUAUUACUUAGGAUCAAUGUCAAUCAUAGUAUCAUAGGAUCAUAGAAUGGCUUGGGUUAGAAAGGACGUCAAAGAUCAUCUACUUCCAACGCCCUGCCACAGUCAGGAUUGCCAAUCACUAAAUCAUGCUCUAGAUUAAGUUGUCCGGGGCUCCAUCCAGCCUGUCCUUGGAUCUCAUGAGCAAUAUUAUCAAUUUUAUUCAUAUUGGGAUUUAAUGAUACCUUUGAAAUCUUAAUAUUCUACAGAACUGUAAAAACUCUUUGGUGUAUUGCAUUGACAAGGUACUGACUGGACUGUGAUAGCUGUGCUUAUAGAAGGGCAGCAGUGAUAAGAAAAAUAACACAUCUUAUAUAAAAAUAAGAUGUCUGUUGUUUCUUUGACAUAUGCAGCUGGGAAUCUCUCAUACACCUGUAUUCCCUGCAUCGUCAUGCAGAUGGCCUUAGGGAAUUAAUCUGGGAGAGAUUGUCAAAAAUCUAGUUGCUCAAAGCCUCUGUUACCUGCUUUCUCAGAUUUUCUGAUAUUUUCAGGAAGAAAACAUCUGUGGAUCCUUCACAUCUCCUGACUGGCAGAUGCACAGCCUCCUGAGGCUAAUGUGUACAGCUAAUCUGUCUGGUACUGUUUUGUUUAGAUCACUGGCUCUGAGGACAGACUGUCCUCUCUGUCUCCUCAUAUAUAGCCAAUUGAUGAGAAGAUUGAGCCCGUCAGUAGGAUCUCCUUUACCUCAGUUGAGGAGUUUUUCCACAGCCAAGGAAAGGACAACGCUUAAGAGCACUGAUAAUUCUCACCUGGAGUUCACCCAAGCUCAUAUGCCAUAACCAUUCAAUCAGUAUCAAAAUAUUAAUUAGAAACAGACAAAAAAACCCAUAUCUUUUUAAUCAAAUAGAGGGUCAUUUCCAAAAUACUUUUCCAAAUGAUUUUUUUUUUCUUGAAGCUUAACAACUAAGUAUCAAAUUCUUUCAACGAGCACAGAAGAAAUUUGUCUAGAGGCAUGUUUUUAACAGAGACACUUAAGGUCUGCUGAUGAACAGUUAGUGCAGUUUGGGGCAAUUUUCCUCUUUCAUGCUAAUUUUUUAUUGAUGCAAUUUUGCUGUAUUCAUUGAGAAUACUAAAAAUCUUUGCAGAUGCAGAUGAAAGGAAAAUCAUUUCUUUUACCAUUUUUUGAAUUCGUGGCAUACACAAGUUACAGAACAUGAUAUUUAUUAAUUGCUCAGAUUUAUAUGUUAACAGAAGAUCUUUGAGCAAACCAACAACCAUUAAUUCUUCCAUAAAAGUAAUAAGUUUAGUAUCAUAAUUCCACAUGAAACAGUUGAAGCAAGUAAACAACUUUCAGAAUCUCAAAAUCUAUUAUCAUCUUGUGAAUUAUCUCUUCAAGCACCUUUGUUCUAAGAGGAUAUAUUACAUUGUCAGUCAUCUUCCUUGGUAUCAUCCAUAGCAACUUGAUCAAGUUCAAAGCAAUUCUUUUCUGCUUCCUUACACUGUGUGCCAAAUACAAGCCAUUUCUUUUUGCUAAUACAAACUUUAUUAAAGACCUUGCAAAUACUUCUCAUUAUGAGAGACUUUCCUGUUGUUUUGUGUCACUCAUCAUUUGUUAUUAUUGCAAGAUUAUGUCUUUGUGAAUUUCUGAAAAAAAAUCUCUAACUCCAGUAUUAUAUUUACCUGUAAAAUUCAGAAUAUAGCACAAACACCAAAGCUCCAUUCUAAGCACAUUUUUUAAGGCUGCACUAAGUGCAAAGAAGAUUUAAUUUUAUAGCCUGACAUCUUGUUCUUUCUCAUAGUCAGUGUAGACUGAGAAAUGGGGAACAGCAUCUUCUUCCUGUUGAGGCUGUGUAUACUGCUAGUAACUGUACAAACUGGUUAUCAUGUUCCUUCUUCACAAGUGAUGAAGGAAAUCAUCUAUACAAGUAAAAUUGCUCCUUUGAUGAUUCUAAAUAAAAGAAUGGAAUCAAGCACAAAGUUUCUAUAAUGUAGCAAAUUCAAUUUCAGUAAUUGAGUAAUAGUAAAGAAUUAUGUGCUUAUUAUUAUGACAGAUCCAAAGUCACUUGAGUUAAUUUAACCUUUUCUCAGUGCAGCCUAAAAUGUCUUAAAUGACAUCAACCUUGUGCCAGACUUACAACUUCUGCAAUUCAGUUGAUAAACUUGAUCAUUUGUUUGAGAAAAUGGUUACUUUAUUUUGUAUGGUGUAUUUUGUUUGUAUUUUAUUUGAA